ensembl:lncRNA
CUGGGCACAUGUAAACAGCAUAAUGUUUGGGCAGGACACCACAUUAUCGCAGCCUGACAUCGCCACGCCUAUUCUCAAUUGCGUUUGGACUUUUCAUCCUGGUGACCUCAGCGCCUCCAAACCUCUGGACGGGUGUGGGGGGACUCAGGAGGGAGGGGUCUGCUGCUAAUUGGGGCCAAACCAAACCCGGUGUGUCAGGGGAGACACCAGACAACGGUCCCCGUGACGACGGAGGACCCAGAAGAAGAAUACUCAGAUUCACGGUGGCUGCUGCAAAAUAAAAGGGUCUGCCUGACUGCCUGUGCUGGUACCAUGUUGCAGUCUUCGUAGACAACACAUGUUCACACACACACACACACACACGCACACGACACGACACGACACGACAAUGGCAACAAAG